AGAACGAACGCUGGCGGCAUGCCUAACACAUGCAAGUCGAACGAGACCUUCGGGUCUAGUGGCGCACGGGUGCGUAACGCGUGGGAAUCUACCCUUGGGUUCGGAAUAACUUCCCGAAAGGGAUGCUAAUACCGGAUGAUGUCGUAAGACCAAAGAUUUAUCGCCCAAGGAUGAGCCCGCGUAGGAUUAGCUAGUUGGUGAGGUAAAGGCUCACCAAGGCGACGAUCCUUAGCUGGUCUGAGAGGAUGAUCAGCCACACUGGGACUGAGACACGGCCCAGACUCCUACGGGAGGCAGCAGUGGGGAAUAUUGGACAAUGGGCGAAAGCCUGAUCCAGCAAUGCCGCGUGAGUGAUGAAGGCCUUAGGGUUGUAAAGCUCUUUACCGGAUGAUAUGACAGUACCGGGAGAAUAAGCUCCGGCUAACGUCCGCGCCAGCAGCCGC
rnacentral:rRNA from 1 species